rnacentral:rRNA from 1 species
GUGGGGAAUAUUGGACAAUGGGCGCAAGCCUGAUCCAGCCAUGUCGCGUGAGUGAUGAAGGCCUUAGGGUUGUAAAGCUCUUUCACCGAUGAAGAUAAUGACGGUAGUCGGAGAAGAAGCCCCGGCUAACUUCGUGCCAGCAGCCGCGGUAAUACGAAGGGGGCUAGCGUUGUUCGGAUUUACUGGGCGUAAAGCGCACGUAGGCGGUUUGUUAAGUCAGAGGUGAAAUCCCGGAGCUCAACUCCGGAACUGCCUUUGAUACUGGCAAGCUAGAGUCCGGAAGAGGUAAGUGGAACUCCUAGUGUAGAGGUGGAAUUCGUAGAUAUUAGGAAGAACACCAGUGGCGAAGGCGGCUUACUGGUCCGGAACUGACGCUGAGGUGCGAAAGCGUGGGGAGCAAACAGGAUUAGAAACCCGAGUAGUCC